UACCAGCACCCCGAGUGGUCGGGACGAUUAUUGGGCCUAAAGCAUCCGUAGCCGGCCUUACAAGUCCUCCGUUAAAUCCAGCUGCUUAACAGAUGGGCUGCGGAGGAUACUAUAAGACUAGGAGGCAGGAGAGGCAAGCGGUACUCAGUGGGUAGGGGUAAAAUCCGUUGAUCCAUUGAAGACCACCAGUGGCGAAGGCGGCUUGCCAGAAUGCGCUCGACGGUGAGGGAUGAAGCUGGGGGAGCAAACCGG
rnacentral:rRNA from 1 species